UGAAUUAAAAUCAAGGUACUAUAACAGAUCGUCAACUCGAACGUGGAAUGAUUUACUCGGUAACAAAUGAGCACCGAACAGGCUGGCACUUGUGAUCGCGAUCGGGUCUCUUGAGAUCGAAAUCUUGACAUUUCUUUGGAGCGGUGUAAUGAAGAACGAAAUGAUCUUCUCGGCAGUGAGUUCAGACAGGGACUGACUGAACGACGACGGUAGAAGAGAUCUCUCGUGAGAGGUGUGAGAGGUCCCAAACGGGGUGAAUAGGCCCAAAAAUCUUACCUGAGGCAACCGCGACCUAUUGGUGGGGGUCAGGUAUGAAAAGGUUUUUACAUAACCCUCAUUAUGCAAUGCCGCAGGAGGGCAGAAUGAAAGAUGUAGGAAAGCUCGACUGCUGCUCCACCUUUCCUGCAUUGCACACCGUGCAAAACGGUACAGUCUCAACGUUCCCAUACCUGCCCGCCAUGUGUAAUUGUUCGAGUUCCGCUACCUGAGAUGCAAAUACACACUGUAUCGUACGGCCGUGUGUAUGAAUGUGCCGUGGAUACGAAAACGGCGCAGCUACAACAUGACAUAUCAGCAUCGCUUCGCCCGUUGCAGGAAAAAUUAAUUUAAUUUAUUUCUACCCCGCUGGGAAAGGAAGGUGGAUGGAUGGAUGGUUGGAUGGAAGCGUUCAUGACGUCGACGCCAUCUCCCCAACGAGCCAAAGGGUUGGACCAGAUGACGCCAUUUCCAAUUUCCUGAAUGAAAAGCGGAACCAAUUCACACUUUCAACACCUGGCUCCCCCCCUUCCUCCUUCUCGACGUAUAACUGUUCUUUAAUUAACUAUUUCAACGGACUAAUUGGCUUGAGAGAAAUGACUCUCACCGGCAUGUGAAACUACUGCAGGCCUGGUGGACGCCUGUUACAUAUUCGACGUCGUUUGUAGCUCGACGAGGGUGCAGAAAGAAGGCGAGACUACGAAGUUGGAGGAUUUGAUUGAUUGCACUCAACGCGCUCGAGAUUUAAAUCUCCUUAACGUUGGAUCCUAUGGAGUCAAUCAAACUAGAACUUGAAGGUGCCGUGGAAUCUUAUUCUUGACAAUGAUUUUCAAGCGACAUGUAAUGCCUGAGUAAGCAAGCUCUUUCGGACGAUACGAACGCGCUUACCUUACCCAGGAAACACCAUGCUUCGUGACCCUAAGUUGCUCAAUGGCUAUCAGGAUUCACCAGGAAAUGAAACAUAUUCGACACCAUUUACAAACCCAGAUAACACGAGAAACAAUGCGACGCUCUAACAGCGAAGUAUUAGAGGAGUUAAGGCUCUUGCUGGCGGUUUAGAUUCCUUCAAUGGAUUCAAGGAUAUUCACGAUGACCGUGGCAGCGACAUCGCUGGAGAAAACCAAAACUUGUCCUACUAUGGAGAUAGCAACUCGAAGGGGAGCCUUUGCAUGAAAUUCCUACCCUAUGAAGAAGGGUAAAGGCGUCGAGAGGGUAGCUGUUGGCAAGCCAUUCGUCAGAAGAUAACGUUACUCAAUCGACGGAGCAAUGACAUUCAGUCGGUACGAAGUGAGUACGUGAGACUACUUCUCGACUGCGACUUAGAAAUGUCACUCAGCUCGAUCAUCACCGUGUGAAGACGCGUGACAGCGUCCACCGCCGACCACCGCAACUACCUCCGAGCACCACCAACCACCUUCAAUCACCUCCACCCACCUCCGGCCACCUUCGUCCUCAUCGACCACCUCGUCCCCCCCUCGUCAUCCACCCCGCCCUGUCGUCAUCGUCCUUCUCGACCUCCUCCGAUCACCACCAACCACCUCCAAACACCUCCUACGUUGUCUAAAGAAUAAAAAGACAGUUGCCCUAAUGGGCUCUGGUGUGACAACCGAAUUCGUCGUGCGCUUGCGCUCCCUGAGAUGUUCCAUCGGUAGAGUUAAGAACUUAUUGCAGAACAUCAGAGAGUUACCGAUUUCGACGUGAUGCUGACUGCAUUCGCCUUCCGAGUAACACAGUCUUCGCAAUGGUGGUUGGAGGUGGACGAGGAGGAGGACGAGAAAGAGGAGGCGAACAAGGUGAAAGAGGAGGACGAGGAUUUGUGCUCGGUAUAACCUGAGGUGGUUAUUGGUGGUUAUUGGUGGUUGUUGGGGGCGGUUGGCGGUGGUCGGAGGUGGACGAGGAGGAGGACGAGAAAGAUGAGGAAAACAAGGUGGACGAGGAGGGCGAGGAUUUGUGCUCGGU
rnacentral:lncRNA from 1 species